rnacentral:rRNA from 1 species
CAACGGCCCACCAAGGCGACGACGGGUAGCCGGCCUGAGAGGGCGACCGGCCACACUGGGAGUGAGACACGGCCCAGACUCCUACGGGAGGCAGCAGUGGGGAAUAUUGCGCAAUGGGCGAAAGCCUGACGCAGCGACGCCGCGUGGGGGAUGAAGGCCUUCGGGUUGUAAACCCCUUUCAGCAGGGACGAAGCGAAAGUGACGGUACCUGCAGAAGAAGCGCCGGCUAACUACGUGCCAGCAGCCGCGGUAACACGUAGGGCGCAAGCGUUGUCCGGAAUUAUUGGGCGUAAAGAGCUCGUAGGCGGUCUGUUGCGUCCGCUGUGAAAACUCGGGGCUUAACCCCGAGCCUGCAGUGGAUACGGGCAGACUAGAGGUAGGUAGGGGAGAAUGGAAUUCCCGGUGUAGCGGUGAAAUG